rnacentral:lncRNA from 1 species
GGAUAGUCGAGCAUUUCAAGAUUUGUGAUAGAGUGAAGAAGAAUCACUCAAAAGAGAGACUGGAAGACAGACACUCAAACUUGGCUGUGAAACUGGACCCCUGGAGGAGCUCCUGCAGGAGACCUCAGACUGCUUUCUUUUUAGAUGGUCACCUUGGAUGCUCUGCAAUAUUCACAACUUUAUGCUACUGGCACAAUAUUUUCCACAAAUGGUAACAGCUGGAGGACCUCAUCAUGUACAGAGAAUUUUCAACUUGGACUCCUCUCUCAUACCUUUUGUGAGAAUAUAUCUCCUUAUUUUAUGCCUUAAUGUUUUUAAUUAGGUGUCUUUGCAUAGGGUUAUCUAUGCCUUUCAAGGAAUCUUAAAUAAUUUUGUCAUAAGGGUAGGAGAACUUUUGUUGUAAGAACAAGCCUUAAGACAGAAUUUGUUCUAGUAAAGCAUAUGAGUUUUCAUAAUCUACAAACAAUAAGCAUAAUGGAAUCUUGUAUUCUCUAUGUUUCAAUUGAUAACCAAGUAAUAAAGAUCAGAUCCAUUGUUGC